ensembl:lncRNA novel transcript
GCCUCCUGCGUGGAAAAGAGAAGGAAGCCCGAGGUGGUGGCGCUGCGUCUCUCAGUUGCAGUGUGAGGUAUGAGACACCACACCUAGCCCUGAAGCUGCUCUUGGUUGGGGGUCAUCCCACACCUAAGAAAGAAAGAUGAUGGCUCUAAAGAAGAUGAAAAAGUCAUUGGUGUCAAUCAACUCUAGGCUCCAACUCAUUAUGAAAGGCAGAAAGUAGGCUGGGCACCGUGGCUCACGCCUGUAAUCCCAGCACUUUGGGAGGCCGAGGCAGGUGGAUCAUGAGGUCAAGAGAUCGAAACCAUCCUGGCCAAUGUGGUGAAACACCAUCUCCACUAAAAAUACAAAAAUAAGCUGGGCGGGGUGGUGCGCAACUGUAGUCUCAGCUACUUGGGAGGCUGAGGCAGGAGAAUGGCUUGAACCCGGGAGGUGGAGAUUGUAGUGAGUCGAGAUCGCGCCACUGCACUCCAGCCUGGCAACAGAGCGAGACUCCAUGUCAAAAACAAAAACAAAAACAAAGAAAGUGUAAAGUAUGUGCUGGGGUACAAGCAAACUCCAAAGGUGAUCAGACAAGGCAAAGUGAAAUUGAUUAUGCUCACCAACAACUGCCCCACUUUGAGGAAAUCCAAAAUAGGAUACUGUGCCAUGUUGGCCAAAAGUGGUGUUCAUUACUACAGUGGCAAUAAUAUUGAAUUGGACACAAUGUGCAGAAAAUACUGCAGAGUAUGUGCACACUGAUCCAGGUGAUUCUGAUAUCAUUAGAGGCAUGCCAAACAGAUUGGUGAAAAGUAAAUGAUGCAAAAUGUUUCUUUUAC